rnacentral:rRNA from 1 species
CCUACGGGAGGCAGCAGUGAGGAAUCUUGGUCAAUGGCCGGAAGGCUGAACCAGCCAAGCCGCGUGAGGGAGGAAGGCGCAGAGCGUCGCAGACCUCUUUUGCCGGGGGACAAAAGGCCGGACGGGUCCGGUUCUGAGGGUACCCGGAGAAAAAGCAUCGGCAAACUCCGUGCCAGCCGCCGGGGUAAUACGGAGGAUGCGAGCGUUAUCCGGCUUCAUUGGGUUAAAGGGAUGCGCAGGCGGGCCUUUAAGCCGGCGGUGAAAUCGCGGGGCUCAACCCCGCCGAGCCGUCGAAACUGGGGGCCUUGAGGGCGGCGGAGGCAUGCGGAAUGCGCGGUGUAGCGGUGAAAUGCAUAGAUAUCGCGCAGAACCCCGAUGGCGAAGGCGGCGUGCCGUGCCGCCACUGACGCUGAGGCACGAAAGCGCGGGGAUCGAACAGGAUUAGAUACCCGUGUAGUC